GUGCUUUGACAGUAAUGUUCACCAACCUUUUCCAGCUCUGAUUCCAUGUAGAUAUAGGUACAGGUCAAAAGCAAACAUCUUGACCCCAUUCUUGUCUCCCUUUAUUCCUAAGAUAUGAUUGUGCAGCCCUUAUAUGAAGACCUAGACCGAAAGAAAUCAGAAUGUGAGGCCUGAGAAGACUUUCCCAAGGUUGGCUAUAUGAGAGGCACUCUUCCUCAGCAAGCUGUGUGCUGCCUGAAAGGAUGCCUAUUUCUAAUCCUGUCAGAGAUCCCUGGGAGCUGGUUCUAGCUUUGGACACAGCUCUUAAUGCUGCUGAAAAGGUAAAUA
rnacentral:lncRNA from 1 species